UACGUAGGGUGCGAGCGUUGUCCGGAAUUAUUGGGCGUAAAGGGCUCGUAGGCGGUUUGUCGCGUCGGGAGUGAAAACGCCGUGCUUAACACGGCGCUUGCUUUCGAUACGGGCAGACUAGAGGUAUGCAGGGGAGAACGGAAUUCCUGGUGUAGCGGUGAAAUGCGCAGAUAUCAGGAGGAACACCGGUGGCGAAGGCGGUUCUCUGGGCAUUACCUGACGCUGAGGAGCGAAAGUGUGGGGAGCGAUCCGG
rnacentral:rRNA from 1 species